GACGAACCGUGCGAACGUUGUUCGGAAUCACUGGGCUUAAAGGGCGCGUAGGCGGGUGUGCAAGUCUGCGGUGAAAGCCUCCAGCUUAACUGGAGAAGUGCCGUGGAUACUGCAUAUCUUGAGGAGGGUAGGGGCAUCUGGAACGGUCGGUGGAGCGGUGAAAUGCGUUGAUAUCCAGCGGAACUCCGGUGGCGAAGGCGAGGCGCUGGACCCUUUCUGACGCUGAUGCGCGAAAGCCAGGGGAGCAAACGGG
rnacentral:rRNA from 1 species